CAUUGGGCACCUAUUUAAUGCAUCAAACCGUGAUUAUGACGGCGAUGAUAAUAAUGAUGAUGGUUUCUCGCACAAUAAAUAAUGGUGUCUGCCACUCUACCAGUCACGGUGGUCAAGAACAAUUCAAACACGACGAGAAAUUUGGUGUAAAUCGCGACAAUAAUAUCAAUUGUUGAUUUGAUACGUCAUCACGACGAGUGAGAUGAACACUUUAAGAGACGGACAAUAGUUCUUGAAGCCCCUUCACCUUGACAUGACUCGCUCCACGACAAACAGACAACAAACUUUUACGUCAGUGGUUUGGUUAGCUGAGCAUUAUUUACCUACGUUGAGAACAAAUGACAAUGAACUUCCUACUGACAUUCAUUUUCAAUUUACCUCGGAAUUGGUUGUCGAUGAUUAAAUAAGUUUCCAGUCCAGCCGCACUUUUACUCUUUUUUUCAGAUCAUGUCCUUUCAUCCCAUAAAGUGUCACGAACUCGCGAAGAAAACAAAAAUUCGUACAUAUAUAUGUCGCAGCCUUUUUAAAUCAGUUUCCGGUUCUGUGAGAGUUCAUUAAAUUUUUGUAACGAAAUAAUAAUAAUUCGCGUCUGAAUUAUCAUCGAGGUAAUUAUUUCGUGAUGAUAUGAAUGCCUACAUGACUUUCCA